CACCGGCGAACGGCUUAGUAACACGUAGAUACAUACCCAAAAGUGGGGCAUAGCUCGUCGAAAGACGGGGUAAUUUCCCAUAGUCCUGCAAAGGUAAAGGCGCAAGCCGCUUUUGGAAUGGUCUGCGGUCUAUCAGCUAGUUGGUGAGGUAAUGGCUCACCAAGGCUAUGACGGAUAGGGGGCGUGAGAGCGCGACCCC
rnacentral:rRNA from 1 species